UCGGAGGAGAAAGCAGCAGGCAGGGACCUUCCCAGCCUCAGGCGGAAUUGAGCUUGGUGGGGCCAGGUCGAGGGCGGGAAGAUAAGCACUUAGAAAAAGGGGAGGGGAGAAGGGCAGCUAUGGGGAGUGCUGGAAGGGCUGCGGGGUCAAGCCCAACCCCUCCGAUCACGCCCCUCCCUUCUUCCCUCCAUCUCUUUUCUCUAGCACCCUCGAGGUAGGGCCGGAAACCUAGAGUUAGGGAUCUUAUACAAAGGAAGAAACUGAGGCCGGGAGGGGGAGUGGAGGGCGGGGGGUAGAGGCUUCAGCCGGAAGGGAGAGUAGGCGAGUCCAGCCCCUCCGGGGAGACUAAUCCAAGGUCACCGGGGGAAAGAGCAGGAGGAGGCGCGGGGUCAGGAUUUGAACCAAGAUCUUUAGCCUUGGCCGAACUGGGGAGGCUCGUGGCAGCUGCCCCGGAGACGGGGGCGGAAGCCAGCCACGAGGACCUCGGCGUCCCGGCCCGGUCCUCCGGAGAGAAACGGCCUCAGGCCUCCUCUUUCAUUCAUUCCACAGACACUGAGAGCGCACGCUGCCUGCUAGGGCCUGCAGCGUUUCCCUUCCUCCCCUCCGCCUCUGCGGCGCCACUCGGCCAGGGAUGUUGUCCAGCCGUCAAUCCGCUCCUGAGGACGAACUGAAAGGUAAAUAUAUUGCUUCGACCCAGCGGCCGGACGGGACCUGGAGGAAGCAGCGUAAAGUAAAAGAAGGCUACGUGCCCCAGGAGGAGGUUCCUGUGUACGAAAACAAGUAUGUCAAGUUCUUCAAGAGCAAACCAGAGCUGCCCCCGGGCUUGAGCCUUGAGGCCAGCGUCCCCACCCCACCAAGGCUCGAGGGGGGUGAGCCGGGCCUCUCUAAGACUGCCAAACGAAACCUCAAACGCAAGGAGAAGAGGCGACAGCAGCAAGGGAAGGGGGCGGUAGAGGCCUUGAGCAGGACUCUAGAUAAAGUGUCUUUGAAGGAGCCAGCACAGACGACCAGCGUUCCCUCUGGUCCCCGAGCCACCCCUGCGACAAACCCGGACAAACCCGAUACGCUCUCUGCCACCGAUAAAGCCAAGAAGAUCAAGAACCUGAAGAAGAAACUCCGUCAGAUAGUUGAACUGCAGCAGCGGAUCCAGACCGGGGAGAUCAGCCAUCCCAGCAGAGAGCAGUUAGAAAAACUGGCCAGGAGGGGGGCGUUAGAAGAGGAAUUGGAGGACUUGGAAUUAGGCUUAUGAGGCUCCUCACGGACCAGGAAUAGACUGUAGGACGAACCGUGACGUUCCCUCAGAGGGACUUGGGGACUGUGGCAGCAGUAGCAGCCAGGAGAGACUCUCCUGCUCUCUGCCCUCCUACUCUUGCCCCGCCGCCUCUGGCCCAGCCUUUCCUUCCAGAGCCUCGCCUCCAUUAAUCCUCACCUUGAGCCCUUCCUUUUUGGACUCUACCCUUCCCUUUCCCUGUGUCCGGAAUCUCAGUGACUGUCCCAGAUAAUGAUGUUAGCCUCAGCACCAGUCUGAAGACAGCAUCUAAGAAUCAAACUUAGUUAAUUUUAGAUUUACAAGGGACUGUAGUAGUCAUCUAGUUCUAAUACUAUGUGAAUCAUGAAAGCCCUCUUAUAAAUAUCCCUUGUGAAGUCGAAAGAUUUGGAAGACCUUUCUCCUCAUCCUCAUUAUCCUCAGUGGCUUAGUCUACAAUCCUCUUUGACACUGCCCCCGGUCACGAGAACCAUUCAGGGAUUGCUUCAUCCUUCCAAAUUGCUAAUUCUUCAGCCCUGUGCCAGGGCACCUGUACAUUCUUAUGGAACCAUGGUUUUCGUGUCCAGUUUCAUGGAAAAUGAUUUUGGGAUUGGAAAGGACAGGACAAAAUUGAUUAGCAGGGAAUGGAGACUCAAGAUAAAUGAGACAGCAUCUAUCUGCCCUCCAGGCCUAGAUGAACUUUCUCCAAGGAUACUGAAAGAAGGGGAAGAUGUGAUUGCUGAGCCACUAUUGAUCAUUGGCAUAUUAGGAAGACCAGGAGAGGUGCUGCAACACCGAAGAAUGGCAAAUAUCCUGACUUCUCAAAAAAGAAGAGGGUGGAUUCUGCAAACUGUAAUCCAAUAACGACUUCCAUUCCUAGCAAAAUUCUAACAUUCAUUUAAAAUUUUUUUGAGUUCUAAAACCUCUUCUUUGAGCCGCUCCUCCACUCAUUGAGAAAGCAAGCAAUAUUACACAUAUGUCAUGUAAAACAUUUCCAUAUUAGCCAUGUUACCAAAAAAGGGCAAGAAAAAUAAAGUGAAAAAAAAAUCUAUGCUUCAAUCUGCACUCAAGAAAGAGUUCAGUCCUCUGUGGAGGUAGAUAGCAUUUUUCUUCCUGCGUACUUUGGAACUGUCUUGGAUAAUUGUAUUGAUUAGAAAAACUAAGUCCUUUACAGUUGAUCAUUGUUACAAUAUUGCUGUUACUAUGUACAAUGUUCUGGUUGUGCUGCAUUCACUUUGUAUCAUUUCAUAUAAGUCUUCCUAGGUUUUUCUGAAACUAUCCUGUUUGUCAUUUCUUAUAGCACAAUAAUAGUAUUCCAUCACAAUUGUAUACUACACCUCGUUCAGCCAUUCCCCAAUUGAUGGGCAUCCCCUUGAUUUCCAAGUCUUUGCCACCACAAAAAGCUGCUAUAGAUAUUUUUCUAUAUAUAUACAUAUAUACAUAUAUAUAUAGAUUAUUUUUCUUUGAUCUCUUUGGAAUACAGCCCUAGUAGUGGUACUACUGGGUCAAAAGGUAGACACAGUUUUAUAGCCCUUUGGGCAUAGUUCCAAAUUGUUCUCCAGAAUGUGGAUUAGUUCACAGCUCAACCAAUAGUGCAUUAGUGUACCUGUUUUUCCAUAUCUUCUCCACACAUUUGUAAUUUUCCUUUUCUGUUAUGUUAGCCACUGAUCAGUUUGAAGUGGUGCCUCAGAGUUGUUUCAAGUUGCAUUUCUCCAACAGUCAUUUAGAGCAUUUUUUCCCUUAUGAUUUGAUAAAAUCUAAAACUGCCUUUUUGUAUCCUUUGACCAAAUAUUUAUCAAUUGGAGAAUGGCUCUUAGUUUUUAUAAGUUUGAUUCAUUUCCCUGUGUAUUUGAGAAAGAAGGCUUUUUUAUUAGAGAAACUUGUUAUAAUUUUUUCCAACUUCCUGUUUUCCUCCUAAUUUUGGCUGCAUUGGUUUUGUUUGUGCAAAAGCUUCUUAAUGUCAUGUAAUCAAAAUUAUUCAUUUUAACUUCCUAUGAUCUUUUAUCUCUUGUUUGGACAUAGACUCUUCCUUUAUCUCCUAAAUCUGACAAGUAAAUUUUUUCAAGCUCCCUUAAUUUGCUUAUAUCACCUGUUAUGUGUAAAUCAUGUACCCAUUUUGACCUUAUCUUAGUAUAUGGUGUGAGAUGUUGGUCUAUGCCUAAUUUCUGUAAAACUGCUUUCCAAUUUUCCUAGCUAUUUUUGUCAGAUAGUGAGUUCUUGCACUAAAAGCUAAUAUCUUUGGUUUCGUCAAA